GUGCUUACUUUGGUAGGACAUAUACAAAAAUUGGAAUGACACAGAAAAGAUUAUCAUGGCGCCUAUGCAAUGCUGAAGUAUUUGUGAAGUAUUCCAUAUUUUU
ensembl:snRNA U6 U6 spliceosomal RNA